AAGUAAUUAGUUUAAAAUAAAACCUUAAGUUGUCAAUUUAAAAAUAUUUAAUUAAUAGAAUAUUACUUA
rnacentral:tRNA from 1 species